UCCCUACUGUAAACGGUGUACACUUGCCGUGACCGGAUUUCACCCCGGUCGUGGCGGAGCAAACGCGUUAAGUGUACCGCCUGGGGAGUACGGCCGCAAGGUUAAAACUCAAAGAAAUUGACGGGGGCCCGCACAAGCGGAGGAGCAUGUGGCUUAAUUCGAUGCAACGCGAAGAACCUUACCCAGGUUUGACAUAUACCUGCAAGACCCAUGAAAGUGGGUUUCCUUCGAGGGUGGUAUACAGGUGCUGCAUGGCUGUCGUCAGUUCGUGCCGUGAGGUGUUUGGUUAAGUCCAGCAACGAACGCAACCCCUGUGUCAUGUUGCCAUCAGGUAAUGCUGGGAACUCAUGACAGACUGCCCGUUUACGCGGGAGGAAGGUGGGGAUGACGUCAAGUCAGUAUGGCCCUUACAUCUGGGGCUG
rnacentral:rRNA from 1 species